AUUGAACGCUGGCGGCAUGCCUAACACAUGCAAGUCGAACGAGACCUUCGGGUCUAGUGGCGCACGGGUGCGUAACGCGUGGGAAUCUGCCCUUUGCUUCGGAAUAACAGUUAGAAAUGACUGCUAAUACCGGAUGAUGUCUUCGGACCAAAGAUUUAUCGGCAAAGGAUGAGCCCGCGUGGGAUUAGGUAGUUGGUGGGGUAAAGGCCUACCAAGCCGACGAUCCUUAGCUGGUCUGAGAGGAUGAUCAGCCACACUGGGACUGAGACACGGCCCAGACUCCUACGGGAGGCAGCAGUGGGGAAUAUUGGACAAUGGGCGAAAGCCUGAUCCAGCAAUGCCGCGUGAGUGAUGAAGGCCUUCGGGUCGUAAAGCUCUUUUACCAGGGAUGAUAAUGACAGUACCUGGAGAAUAAGCUCCGGCUAACUCCGUGCCAGCCGCCGCGGUAACAC
rnacentral:rRNA from 1 species